GAUGAAAAUAUUGAUUUUGAAGAUAUAUCAAGAGGAGGAAGGUGUAGAAGAGGUUGAAGAAGAUUAUGAUGCUAUUCUUGAUGAAGAUUGAAGAUUAGUUAUUUUAUAGUUGCUUGAGUUUAGUUUUGAAACAUUAAAAGAAUAUUCAAGUUUUAAUAUAUUAGUAAUUGAAUGCUUCUUAGUUAUUAGUAUUUUAGGAAAUUUGAUGGAAUACAUUUAUUUGACUUUAAUGAAUUUUUCUUUUUGUGUCUCACCUAGCCCAGGCGUGUAUCUGCACCUUGUGCCUAGGCUCCAGAACCCCUUGGCAUCUUCAUGCACUUUGAGCCAUUAAUAACUAUGGAUUAGAAAAAAAAAAAAAUUGAGGACUUAAUUAGAAAAGUGAUUAUAAAGUUGGAGUACUUUCUUAUAAUUACCCAUUUAGAAAAGUAAGUAUUAAGAUUGAAAUUAAAAAAAAAAUGUGGCGUUGACUAAUGACAAUUUAAUGAAGAUUUUAUUUUAUGAGUUGACUAAUGAUAAGUAUUUUUAAAAGUAUCAAGAGUUUAUUAUAAAAGAAAAGGCUAAUGAAUUAUUAGGUUCAAAAACCUUUUGUGCUUGCCUGUAGCUAACACAAACUUGCACUGAUGCUAGUUUCCAAAGACUUGUUUCAAGACAAAGGUGGUUUUACUAGUUUACACUGAUUAGUGGUGUACUUAUUUUUUCCAAAGGCUGCUUUGAGCAAUACAGGGAUCCCAAGAGUCCAUGUUACAGCUGCUGCAUCAGGUGAUGAGCAACCAGAGGUUGACAUAAGUGAUGAAGAAUUUCUUCAAUUUGACACAUCGGAGGUUCCUGUUAUAGUUACCUUAACAAAGGUGAUGUGGUUAACUGUUUAUCCUUUCAAGAACUGCAUACAACACUUCCAUUUGAAAGUUUGCAUCUCUGUCAUGUAGGUGGGGAGACACUAUAUUGUAGAUGCUACUUCAGAAGAGGAAUCCCAGAUGAGCUCUGCAAUUUCUGUUUCCAUAAAUAGGAAAGGGCAUAUUUGUGGGUUGACAAAACGAGGAGGUGCAGGCAUUGAUCCAAGUGUGAUUUCUGACAUGAUAUCUGUUGCACAAUAUAUAAGUGAGCAGCUGAUUAAUAAAUUGGACUCUGAAAUAUCUGCUGCAGAGGCUGAUGAAGAUGAAUCAUGACACUGCUUAUAUAACCUCAGCUCUCAUUUAAUUUAGCAAGUCUGUGUACUACUUUGUUUAAUGAGCAUUGGGAUAUGAUGAAAUAUCAGUAGAUGAAUAGAAUUAGAAGAGUAUCAUGAUUAGUUAGAUGAUACUAAUUCCUUUUUUGUUGUCAUUUAGGGAAUGAUUGCCAUUUGUUGAGCGCUGAAUGGACUAAUCUAAAGAGGUGUUUGGUACAAAGUUAACAAGGGGUAAUAUUACACUUGUAACUUUUAAUUCACAUUUAACUCUUGAUUUUUUACCUUUUACUAAACGCAUUCUAAGUUGAG
rnacentral:misc_RNA from 1 species